rnacentral:rRNA from 1 species
CAGCAGCCACGGUAACACGAAGGGGGCUAGCGUUGCUCGGAAUUACUGGGCGUAAAGGGCGCGUAGGCGGACGGUUCAGUCGGGGGUGAAAGCCCGGGGCUCAACCUCGGAAUUGCCUUCGAUACUGGCUGUCUUGAGUGUGAGAGAGGUGUGUGGAACUCCGAGUGUAGAGGUGAAAUUCGUAGAUAUUCGGAAGAACACCAGUGGCGAAGGCGACACACUGGCUCACUACUGACGCUGAGGCGCGAAAGCGUGGGGAGCAAACAGGAUUAGAUACCCCUGUAGUCCCUGUCUCUUAUAC